AUAGAUAAUUUUGUGCCUUAGUGUAUGCUGCCAUUAGUGUAUGCUGCCAUAGCCACGGUAUAAGGGGAAAAUAUCUGCGGUGAAAGUGAGCGUGGCAAGUUGCGUCCUCAGAAAGAGAGUGCUUCCUGUGCGCAGGUGUGUUCAACUGUCAAGAUCAUCCAUACAUUUUUCAUGCCAGCUCUUCUUUGAUUCCUUUGGAAGCAGCCAUCAGACUUAGCAAAUAAUAAAACAUUAGCGGUAUUGAAUCAAUCACAAUACUUCCUUUCUUCAAUUCCAGUCCACUCGGCCUCUUCAGUCCCGGAGGUGCUAUAUUAAUUUUGCACAAUCCAUCCAACUCAAGAUUCCUUCAACCACUAUCCAAACAAUUGCAGUCACAUUGAUAAUAUUAACUAUCUACAGUUAUAAAAAUCAAAGCUGACGGUCGGCAAACAAACAAAUAAACAGCGGUGUCAAAAAUAAACAGCUUCAAAAAAUCUGAAAAAAAACGCCCAGUUCUCAACUAACGUUGUCAGAUUUUGAUUAACUGAAUUCAAAAGCGCUUUUUGAAAUGUUGAAGUCCAAUUUGGCGCCAAUUUUUCUCCUCUCAGCUCUGGUUGUUGGGUUGUGUUUCUUGGGCGACUGCGGAGCGAGAAGACACUUCCGUCCAGUGUGGAGUCACAAGCGACUGUCCGAGGGAAUAAGCGGGACCAACAUGUACCCCUACCAAACGGUAGAGGCCAGAAAACGAGGAGCUGCUGAUGUGUUUGGGAUUCUGAAUGAUUAUCCCGACGAAUCUGAAGACGAGGUUGAAAAAGAACGUUUGAGACGAAUUGCAGAAGAGAUAGCAGACGAAUUAGACAGAGCUGAACAAGAAGAAGAAGAGGAAGACGAUGAAGUUGAGGAAGGAGGGCGUGAAGAAACUGAAGACAACGACGAGGAAGAUGAGAUUGUCAAAAAGCGGCUUGUCCGUCCAUUCUCGUAUAAAAUGAAUCCACAAAAGUAAAGAUCCUUCUAGACAGUCAUUUCACAUCGAGAACACCUCAAGGCCACAGAAGGAAUGCUAAUUUUCACUAAUUUGUUGUUCACCACUUAUUUGUAUCAACAUUCAAAGAAAUUCACUAAUUUAGCUAUG